UACGGAGGGUGCAAGCGUUAUCCGGAUUCACUGGGUUUAAAGGGUGUGUAGGCGGGUAUUUAAGUCAGUGGGGAAUCUCCAGGCUCAACCUGGAAACUGCCAUUGAUACUAUUUAUCUUGAAUAUUGUUGAGGUAGGCGGAAUAUGUCAUGUAGCGGUGAAAUGCUUAGAUAUGACAUAGAACACCGAUUGCGAAGGCAGCUUGCUAAACAAUUAUUGACGCUGAGGCACGAAAGCGUGGGGAUCAAACAGG
rnacentral:rRNA from 1 species